AGUGAACGCUGGCGGUAGGCCUAACACAUGCAAGUCGAACGGCAGCACAGUAAGAGCUUGCUCUUACGGGUGGCGAGUGGCGGACGGGUGAGGAAUACAUCGGAAUCUACUUUUUCGUGGGGGAUAACGUAGGGAAACUUACGCUAAUACCGCAUACGACCUACGGGUGAAAGCAGGGGAUCUUCGGACCUUUCGCGAUUGAAUGAGCCGAUGUCGGAUUAGCUAGUUGGCGGGGUAAAGGCCCACCAAGGCGACGAUCCGUAGCUGGUCUGAGAGGAUGAUCAGCCACACUGGAACUGAGACACGGUCCAGACUCCUACGGGAGGCAGCAGUGGGGAAUAUUGGACAAUGGGCGCAAGCCUGAUCCAGCCAUACCGCGUGGGUGAAGAAGGCCUUCGGGUUGUAAAGCCCUUUUGUUGGGGAAGAAAAGCGGCAGAUUAAUACCCCGCUGUUCUGACGGUACCCAAAGAAUAAGCACCGGCUAGCUACGUG
rnacentral:rRNA from 1 species